rnacentral:rRNA from 1 species
GAUGAACGCUAGCGGCAGGCCUAAUACAUGCAAGUCGAGGGGUAGAUGGGGCUUGCUCCAUUGAGACCGGCGCACGGGUGCGUAACGCGUAUGCAACCUACCUUGAUCUAGGGGAUAGCCCGGAGAAAUCCGGAUUAACACCGCAUAAAACCACAGCAGGACAUCCUGCAAUGGUCAAACAUUCAUGGGAUCAGGAUGGGCAUGCGUGCCAUUAGCUUGUUGGCGGGGUAACGGCCAACCAAGGCUACGAUGGCUAGGGGAUCUGAGAGGAUGGCCCCCCACACUGGUACUGAGACACGGACCAGACUCCUACGGGAGGCAGCAGUAAGGAAUAUUGGUCAAUGGAGGCAACUCUGAACCAGCCAUGCCGCGUGCAGGAAGACGGCCCUCCGGGUUGUAAGCUGCUUUUAUCCGGGAAUAAACCUAUCUACGUGUAGAUAGCUGAAUGUACCGGAGGAAUAAGGAUCGGCUAACUCCGUGCCAGCCGCCGCGGUAA